GAUGAAGAACGUAGCGAAAUGCGAUACGUAAUGUGAAUUGCAGAAUUCAGUGAAUCAUCGAAUCUUUGAACGCAUAUUGCGCCUUCUGGUAUUCCGGAGGGCAUGCUUGUUUGAGUAUCAGUAACAACCUCAACUCUUCUUCAUUGCGGAGAAAGAGUUGGAUUUGAGUAUUUCCACAAGUUCGUCUUGGAGGAUUGCUUGAAAUAUGAGGUUCGGCCGGCAGUUGCCUGGGCUACAAGCAUUUCAUACUUAAUCCCGUCAAACGGAUUAUAUCCUUUGCUGCAGCCAACAUACAGGGUAACUUUGCCAGUGUUCCGACUGAUGCAGGAAAGUUGAGAACAGCUUUUUGCUUUCUCUUCUAAACUCGAUCUCAAAUCAAGUAAGACUACCCGCUGAACUUAAGCAUAUCAAUAAGCGGAGGA
rnacentral:misc_RNA from 1 species